rnacentral:lncRNA from 10 species
AAGAUUUUAUAAGUUUCCAAAAAUGAGUGGAAUAUGCAUAGGUUUCAGAUCAGAGGGCUUUGGAUUAAAACCCCACCUCUGCCAUCUUUUUUAACAUGAAUCUGGGAUUGUCUUUAAUCUUUUGGAGUCUGUUUUCUCAUCCAUAUUAGAAAUGUUCCCAGGGUCCAUCUGGCAUUAAUCCUAGGAAAUGACAGAUACUUAGACCAAAUUACACAAGAUUGAAAGCACCAUUUGUUCAGCUAUUAAACCAAUGAAAGGACACUUUUUUCAAAAAAAACUGUUCAGUAAGGCAAAAAUCUGUGUAAGAUAAACAUCUUUCAUUUUUGUCCUGGGAGAGUAAAAACAGUAGCUUUAUGUCAUCAAUAUUUGAAGAUGCUUUGAAAUGUGUUUAAGUUAGAAAUACAAGGGAUAUCAGAAGUAGUAUUUCUUCUCCAAUUUAUGCCUGUAAUUCUCCUUAAAAUUGUUAUUUCCCAACAGCUGUUAAAACAAAAACAACAGUGUUUGCUUUGACUCUGAAUAUAUUCCCUAAUUCUCCUCCCAGUUUCUAAAUUAACAUAGGGAUCACUAAGCUAAUAAAUUACAUUUAAUAAUAUGCUAAAUUAUGGGGACAAGGUAAACCAAGAAUGUUUUAGGUGGUAUCCUAGUAUUAUUUAACAUUCUUUAAAUGUGUUAUCCUAUUCUUAUUUAAAGUUACUGAAGGCCAAAGAGAAAAACAGGCUCGCCAUUGUUUUAUGUGCCCUCUACCUGUAGCUCAGAGGGCAGGUAAUACCUAUUUAAGGUCUGUUUCACAGUAUGAUAUUUGGGCAUAUCUUGAAGAUAUUGUGUUUGAUGAAAAUUCUAGGAGAUAUUUCCCAUAAAGGAUAUGC